GAUGAACGCUAGCGGCAGGCUUAACACAUGCAAGUCGAGGGGUAUAGUUCUUCGGAACUAGAGACCGGCGCACGGGUGCGUAACGCGUAUGCAAUCUGCCUUUCACAGAGGGAUAGCCCAGAGAAAUUUGGAUUAAUACCUCAUAGUAUUAUAGACUGGCAUCGGUUUAUAAUUAAAGUCACAACGGUGAAAGAUGAUCAUGCGUCCCAUUAGCUAGUUGGCAAGGUAACGGCUUACCAAGGCGACGAUGGGUAGGGGUCCUGAGAGGGAGAUCCCCCACACUGGUACUGAGACACGGACCAGACUCCUACGGGAGGCAGCAGUGAGGAAUAUUGGUCAAUGGACGCAAGUCUGAACCAGCCAUGCCGCGUGCAGGAUGACGGUCCUAUGGAUUGUAAACUGCUUUUGUACGAGAAGAAACACUCCAACGUGUUGGAGCUUGACGGUAUCGUAAGAAUAAGGAUCGGCUAACUCCGUGCCAGCAGCCGCAGUAAAAC
rnacentral:rRNA from 1 species